AGAGACUUAGGAUAACAAAAGACCAAGGACCUUCAAAGCCCUAAGCGGGGGUGAGAAUCCCCCAGUCCCUG
rnacentral:tRNA from 1 species